AUUCGCACGCGGGCAGACGAGGCGAGACGGCUGCGUGGUGGGCCCCACGUGCAGCCUCACGAGCCGCGUCAUGUCCCCAGAUGGGGCUUCGGGCUUCGGCUAUUACCUGGCGCGGAGAGGAGAGGGAGUGAGUCGAGAUCCAUUCCCAACUGCACCUGCGCGCCUCGACUGGUAGCCCGAACCCUAGCUAGCAGGUCGGAGGCGAGAGAGCAGCCAUGGCGCGGUGCCUCGCGCUCGUCUCCCUCCUUCUCCUCGGCCUCGCCUCCGCCGCCUCCGCUGCCGAUGCGCCCUUUGUCGUCGCGCACAAGAAGGUUUCGCUCUCCCGCCCCAAGCCGGGCGUCGAGCGCGUCGCCGUCUCCCUCGACCUCUACAACCAGGGAUCCGCGACUGCCUAUGAUGUGUCACUUAAUGACGACUCUUGGCCAACACAAGCAUUUGAGCUUGUCACUGGAGAGAAAUCGAAGACAUUGGAAAGGCUUGACCCUGGUGCCACUGCUACACACACAUAUGUCCUGGAGACCAAAACACAGGGCAGGUUCCAGGGUUCACCAGCUAUUAUUACGUACCGUGUUCCCACAAAGACUGCUCUUCAGGCACUGGAGUUUCUAAUGGUAAUGAUCAAGGAGCUCCUGCUAUCUCAUGGUUGUCAUUUCGACCUCUACAAGUCUACAUCACCAAAUCAAAGCAUGUUUGUCGGAUCUGCCGUGCACUGAACAAAAGUCAUUCACUGCGAACAUUAACCAAAGAUGGAUGUGCCGUGCACUGGGAAAAAAGAGUCAUUCACUGCGAACAUUAACCAAAGAUGGAUGUGCCGUGCACUGGGAAAAAAGAUUCACUGGUGAAGAUUAAUAAAAGGCUAGAGUUAAAAUUCAAUAUAAACUAAUUUUCAGCUAUCGUGAUGAAGACAUCACUUCUAUACAUACAAUGAAUGGACCGAUAAUAUGAUCGCGUGCACGACAGCUAAUUCUCCAGGUACGUUUUACCCUAGUCAAUUGUGUUUCAGAGCUUACACUUGGGGCCAUGGAUGUUUUGAUGAUUAGGAACCUUGGAGAGGACCAGCAAGGACUUAGGAAAGGCCUAGGUGUUGAGGAGGAGCAGCAAGGGUGGCCACAACAGGAAGGAGAUCAAGUCCGACUCGGCUGCGACUCCAUCUCGGGUUUCAGGACCAGUCUGCACUAAAAUGGACGCCCAAGAUGCAUCCGAACUCCGAUUGCGACGGGCUUGAUAUGGUUGGAAAGAUAAAGAGAUUAUCUAACCAACCCAACUGGUUCCACCCUAAAAUUUAUCCGGAGUCAACGGGAAUCGUCGAAUCAAUUCAGCGUUCAGAUUCUGUUUUGGUGCUGCGACACCGUCUGUUGGGUCGUUGGUCCGUGUAUCGCGUCGGAGCCCAUUAGGGGCGAGUCCAGGGGUCACGCACGCCCUAAUACUCUAUUUAUUCAGCAGCCAUCGCCACAAUUAGACUUGAGUUUUGCUUAAGUUUAGAUCUGUCGAGAACAGUCGUCGUAGAUCGGUUUGUGAGACCCCAACUUGUGAGCUUAAUUAUUCAUCCGCAAUAUUCUAGAUUGUGUUCUUUCUUGUUCU